rnacentral:rRNA from 1 species
GACAGAGGGGGCAAGCGUUGUCCGGACUGACUGGGCGUAAAGGGCUCGUAGGCGGCCAACUAAGUCAUACGUGAAAUCCCUCAGCUUAACUGGGGAACUGCGUGUGAUACUGGAUGGCUUGGAUUUGGGAGAGGGAUGCGGAAUUCCAGGUGUAGCGGUGAAAUGCGUAGAUAUCUGGAGGAAUACCGGUGGCGAAGGCGGCAUCCUGGACCAAUAUUGACGCUGAGGAGCGAAAGCCAGGGGAGCAAACGGG